CUGUACCAUAUUCAAGGAAGCAAAUUUGAGUUUGAUUAUGCAAGGUGUAAAGAAAAAGCUUCCAUCAGUAAAGGGAAUACAAAACUUAAGAGAAUCACCAAAACUGUGAUAAGGCCAUCAUAAGAAUUAAUCAAGCAUAAUGCUUGUACAAAUUGUGGACUCUAUUAUACCAGGAUGGGUGGCAGUUGGAGGGGGGAAAAUUAUCACCAACAUCUUAGCAGCAAAAGGAACAUACACUUUUAACUUCUACGGAUAUAGAGUGUUGCUGAAUGGGACGACUAGAUACGAACCCUCUGCGAUUACCCGUCCAUUAUCAUCCAGACAGCGAGGAGUAGAAGGAGGCGAUGGAGGGGAAGUAAAACGAAACAGGCCGUACAGUAGAUCGAAUGCUGGACAGAAAACGGAAUUGAGAUCAUAAAAAAUCGCCCAAAAUCGGCGUUAUUGGGCGGCGUUAUUUUAACAGUUAACAAUUAGUGUUUACAGUUUCCGCUUCCCUAGUAACAUGUUUCAUCCUGUGUUAUAUUUUGGAAAAAAAAUAAUAAUUAUAGAUUGAACAAUAAUUGUUUGGUAUCUUCUCAAUGUCCCUCCUUCAGUUCAUGGACAUAAUUCUUAAUAACACCUUUCUAGAAUCAUUGGCACCAGUUCCGGAAUGUAUGUGAUUCCUCCCGGAAAUGUCUCAUAUUGUUCUAAGCGUUGUAAAAUUAAAGCGGGACGACCAACAAUUCUUUUAACAUCAUUUGCACCAAUUAUUUGAAGUCUGCAAGUGUUCCUGAAAGUGUCAUAGACAGUUCUAAACGAUAUGCAAUUGAACCGGGAUCAAAGACUCAAUAUCAUUGGUGUAGCAGACCGUGUUUAACGACGUAAAAUUGAGCCCGGGUGCAUUACAAAUUGCAAUUUACGUUAUCGGCACCGUUUCCUGAAAGUCUGCGAAUCAUUUCUCAAAAAUGUAGACUAUUGGUGCUCAAUGGUGCCGCUUCAUUCUCCGGACAAAAUGGCAGAGUUUCCGGUCACAAUGACGAAAUUUCGUUUUGGGCGCCUUUUUAAGCGGACUGUUUUGGCGGGAAACCAAAACCACAAGAAGGGAAAUACAGCUAACAAACACCAUACAACUAAUGUGAUAGCUAACAACCUGAUGCAAUAUUAAUACUUAUAUCAUUAUGCCUUCUUUUGAUAUAAAUUUUGUUGGUCCUUAUUCGUGUAAAUUUAUCUUUUUCAUUAUACUUUCUAUGAACGCCAUAGCUCAAAGUUGUUAAACGGACAUAAUUAUUUUUAUCUUUAGGAGAGAUACCAUGCUUGAGCAUGCAUCUUCAUGGUGGUGUGAACAAUUAUAACGAGAUGUUCAGGUGCGGAAAUGAAAAGCGACUGUAAGACUUAGUGUGGCCUUGACCUUGAAGAAAUAAAGAUUGAGGAAACAUGUGCUCUUUACGUUUGACCGAUGUGAACAUUUAUAACGAAUUAUUCUGCGAUCAUUUGAUCGGUAAAUAAGUUCUGGUGCGCACUCAAAAAUGGCCAUUGACCCUUUAAGUCAUGAUGUGUGACAUUGACCUUGAAGUUACCGGGCCGAUACGUGCACUUUAAAUGCCAUUUCCGUGUGGUGAAUAUUUGGCCAUGAUAAUUCUUAAUCCUUUCAGCGGUUACAAGAGGAAUCAUUAGUGGACGGACGGACAUCUGGGAAAAUAGUAACUAUCUGCAAAGCAUAGGCUCACUGGUCUAUGGGACAUGAAUACAAUCAUAUUUUCAGAUCGACGUAGUUCGAGUUUUGUCCCGUUCAUUAAUCACGCUGGAUGUGUGUACAUUAUCAAUCAUAUAUCAGGAAGGAAACCUGUAACAGGGGACCAUGACCAAAUAGCUGUGAUCGAUUCUCUUGUUUAUUGAUUCAAAUUGAAAUGACUUGGUGCAUUGUAAACGCCAAUGAAAACCUAUUCUCCAGUACUAAAUAAAUUUGUAACAAAUCGUAUAACUGUGGACGUGUUUGACAAAACUAUCAUUUUUUAUUUUCAUCAACACGUUUGAACUAACCCCUAAUUUAAAAUUUGAGUUAAGUUCUGCUCACGUGAAUAAUUAGGUGGUUUAAAAUGUUUCCUUCCUGAUUGAAAGUGCUACUUAGUUGACAGGUCAUAUUAUACGUCCUGUUUGUGAGAGCUUCCUUAAAUUUAAGAUGCUAAUCACUCGAAAACAUACAAAUACAAGGAUGUAACUUGAAUCAACUCUUAGAUGAUAUGUUUCCUGAUAUAAUUAUUAACCACGCAUAUUUUACGGGAAGACUUUCAGUUAGUCUAUGUUAUAAAUAUAAAGCAGGCACAUUGCAUCAGGAAGAGUUUCAAUUACUUUUAUAAGAACAGAAUCAUCAGGAGCACAUUUGUUUACGUGUUUUGUGUACUUAUUUUUUCGUGUUUUUUUUCAUGUUCAUAACAGAGAUUGUUUUAAAUACAGAUCUGGAAGCAUAAUGAUUACACCGUAAAACUGCGUUUUCCCAAUUGUUAUACAGUUUUGGAUGUUUGGUUUCGUAAAUAGAUAAAUAUAUAUACAUAUAUACACUCUUACUGUUCUUUGUUUAACUGUAUAUAUAUAUUUCGACAAACGCAACAUCUUCGAAAACCGUCUGAUAAUAAUGUAACAACUUUUGUGAUUGGUCAAAUGGCGUUUUGUCGAUGUAAAAUGCUUUUGACGUCUACAA